ensembl:lncRNA
AUGUCAGAAUGAGUUUAUAGGAACAGAAAUAUUUCCUAUAGGUCUGGAGAGGAACAUUUGACAAGAGCAUGUCAUGGUAGGACAAGAGUGAAUGUCCUUAAGCUGAAGGAAGCCAGGGCGAGAUGGGAUAUUGGGAAUUAGGAAUUCCUCCCUGGGAGGAUUCUAGGCCUGGUCACCAAGAAUUUGGAAUUGGGGUUUCAGCUGGAAUUCUCAUAGAUCACAUUGAAAUAUCCAGAGACCCCUUUGGAGCAUGGAGUUGACGUGGAAGGACCAAGCAGAAUCCAGGCUCAGCAGCUAUUCCAGACCCACGAAGGGGGGAUUUCUUUUGUUAUCCUGAUUAUACCCAGAACAGCACUGAUUUCCCUGGGAUCAUGAGCACAGAAUCAUGGAAUAUUCUGAGCUGGAAUGGGUUCAAAAGGAUCACCAAGUCCAACUCCUGGCCCUGCACAGGACUCCCCCAACAAUCCCAGUCUGUGCCUUAGAGUGUUCUCCAAACAUUUCCUGGAGUCUUGGGCUUUGGCAGGGGAACCCAGUUUGUCAAAAACUAUUUCAGUAGUAACCAAGAUGUCCAAAAUAGAAAGCCCAGAUGUUCAAAAUAGCUGUGGAAAAUACCCUUGAGAACUGACCCAGGUAUUCCCGGCCCCAGGAAGAGAAAUUCCACCCCCAGAGCUUUUGCUGCUGCUCCCCAGGUGAUGUGCCUGGCAAGUGGAGACAGGUCUUCAAAAGAAUUAGAGAGGAGCAAUGAGCUGAUGAUGAGCAACUAGCAAUUAGCAGAGUAAUUAGAGCAGGCAGAGUGCUGGCUCUGUUCCAUGUGACCCUGAACUGUGAGGAUCCUACAGCACAGUUAAGGUAAAAUGGGAAGGUAAAGCAGAGUGAUCCACAGGUAAAGCGACAGGAGAUGGGAAUAUUCCCAACACCACCAGAGCAGAGCUGGGGCUGUGUGUGCUGCUUUGGGCCAUCUCCAGCCUCCUCAGGUGCUAUCUUGGGAGAGGUUAGAGGGAUUUAAGUUUCACUUUAAACAUUUCUGCUCAUAUUAGUGAAGAGUUACCUCAUGCCUCCAUUUUCACUCUGGGCCCACUGCAAAACUCACUGAGGAGUAAUCUGUCUAAGGCACUGUUUUUCCACUCUGUGGUCCCUGCAGCUUUCCCCUUUUCCAAGAUGAAAGACUUUUGAAGGAUUAGUUCCACCAGAGUCUUAUUGUUCAGAGCCUGGUGUUUCUGAAAUGGGUGUGAGAAGGGGAUUAACCUGCCUUGGGCCUCAGCACUCCACAGGGAGAUUCCAGAGCCCCCAACCCAACCUCCUGAUGUGCAGGAGCAGGAAACAGAUGCCAGCAUGAGCAUUUGUGGUUUAUCCAAAGGUCAAAUAAAUCAUGACAAAUGUAACAGCUCUGAAAUGUGAGCUGCUGGGAGGGUGAAAGCAGGAACUGGUGGUCAUUUGGUCAACUGGGCUUGUGCUCACCUGCAGAGUGUGAGCUAAAGGCCUGUGUCUAGAGGAAUUUCUCUAGUUAUAGAGACAAGACAUUGGGAAGGAAGAUUUCCUAAAAUUGAGAAUCAUGGUUAUAAUGGAGUUAUUUCCAAAGUGGCCACCAAACCCAUGUACAAGAUGGUACUGUUUCCACAGAAUUCCUAAAGAUUCCCAGCUGAACAUCAGGUCAUUCCCUUCCCAGAUAAAACUUCCACCCUGACUGCAUUAUUCACUCAGCUGAUUAAAGCCAUACCACUAAAUUUAAGUUUGUUUUUCCCUUAUCUGCAAAUUUUAAAAAAUACACCGUUGGAUGCACUUUAGAGAGAUCUGUCUGAUUCUUACUCUACCAAAAGCAAGAGGAAUGUGGAGUUCAUGACCAUAAUUUAUUGCAGCUGCCAUCCCAGGAGGGCUUAGAGCCCUUCUCUGAACAUGGGCAGUUUGGAUCCUAUGUUGGAAACAGCUGGAUCUCUCCCCUGGCCACCGGAGAAGAGGGAGAUCAGGAUUUCAGCACUUUGUAACUCAUUUCCCAGAGGCCUCAGGCCUUGGAAUCCCAAGUGAUUUAUCAAAGCUCAUGCAGAGACUUUGCACAGACACAGCAGAACUAUCAGUGCUUCAGUCUGCAGACACUGCUGUCCUUUCAAAAACCCUUCCCACUCCUCAAGUAUCCAGCCUGCCCAGCUGGUAUUUCCUCUGGUACUUGUGUUUGCAGAGGAAAAUGGAGUUGUCAGACUUCAAAUGUUCUUUCAUCGUCUGAGCAGAAUUGCCAGAGCAGCUGUGCUGUUUGGAGGCCUCUCCUAAAGCUUUAACAUAAUUGCUGCACCAGGACUGGUCCCUCACUCUCCCCUCCACACACGGAAUAUUCUCUAAUAAUGCAGCCAUCCCUGCCAACUCCUUGGAACAGCCACGGGCCAGAUGAGUGCGACACCCCAAGCUCAGAUUGCUCCUAAGUCACCUCCUGCAGCUGCUGGCCUUCCAAACUGCCUUUACUGCUCUUUCUAUGGGAUGAUGCACUCUGGAUUAACCUUAAACACAGCAUAUUGAGCCAUUUAGCCUUCAGAAUGACAUAUAGAGUAAUUGCUGCCCUCUUCAAUCACUGCCCAGCCCUUUAAAUAUGCAGGAGAUCAGCUCAGCCUUUGAGCUGAGUGUUUGAGAAAAUGGGCUGGAAAAUGUCCAUGAGGCAAUUUGCCUGUUGAACAGCCACGGUUCCUCAGGCAAGAGAAUCCAAUGACCCUGAAUCCUGGGAGACACAGAGGGAGAAUGUGGCCUCGGAGUUUCUCAGAGUUUCUCCAGCUGUGAGACUGCAAACCGAUGGGUGAGAGGGAGCCUGUUUUCCUGCAGAGCCCUGUGUAUCCAGGGCACAGCCCCAUGGCAGACUGCAGUGGCAUACCUAGGCUCCUUUCCUUUUGUUUAUUGUAAUUUUAUACCAGCUAUGGUGUGUAACAUGUUUCCUACAGUUUUCCAGGUGUUCACAUUCAGUCUAGAAGCUUCACAUCCACAGAGCUCAUGCCCAGAGCUUGCUCCUGCUUUCUCCAGCCAGCCUGCUCCCGGUCCAUAAAGUUUUAUGUUAAAGCCAAUCCUCCCUCCGGGGAGACAUCUGCUGUUAAAGGCCUAUGGAAUGUCACUGCCUGACUGAUAAAAGUUACAGCAGCCCACUGUGGGAUGCUACACCCAGAGGGAGGAGCCAAGCAUUCCUAACUGGAUAUAAUCUGAGUUUUUGGCACACCAGACUCAGCCUUUCCACAGGAUUCCCAGAGGAACAGCUGAGUCUUUUGACUGGAUCUUCAGAGGAAGACUACACCCUUCUACAGGACCACUGCUCCAACAGAACCACACCUGCCACUCCAGGAGACUGCAGCCACUCCAAUUUGGACUGCUACCAACACCCUGACCAACAGGGUAUCAGGUUGCAUUCUGACUCUGUCGGUGGUUUUUCUUCUGUAUUAUUGCAUGUAUUUUGGGGUUUUUAUCCUUUUCCUAAUAAAUUGUAUGUCUGA